GGGUGGUGCAGGAUAUUGGGCGUAAGGGAGCGCAGGCGGUCAUUUAAGUCUGUUGUGAAAUUUCGGGGCUCAACCCCGUGAUUGCAAUGAAACUAUUUUUCUUGGAUACAGGAAAGGAUAGCGGGUUCCCAUUGUAUCGGUGAAAUGCGCUUAUAUAGGGAGGAAACCCGUGGGCAAAGGCGCUUUCUGGAAGCAAACUGACCUUAAGGCUCGAAGCCGUGGGAAUCAAACGGGAUUAAUUCCCCGGUUAUUCCGGCCGUUAACCAAUGAUACCAGGUUUUGGAGGUAUCGACCCCUACCGUGCCGGAGUUAACGCAAUAAAUUUCCCCCCCGGGGAAUACGGUCGCCAGAAUGAAACCAAGGGAAAUUGGGGGG
rnacentral:rRNA from 1 species